AUACGUAGGGUGCAAGCGUUAAUCGGAAUUACUGGGCGUAAAGCGUGCGCAGGUGGUUUUGUAAGUCAGAUGUGAAAUCCCCGGGCUUAACCUGGGAACUGCGUUUGAAACUGCAAGGCUAGAGUGUGUCAGAGGGGGGUGGAAUUCCGCGUGUAGCAGUGAAAUGCGUAGAGAUGUGGAGGAACACCGAUGGCGAAGGCAGCCCCCUGGGUCAGCACUGACGCUCAGGCACGAAAGCAUGGGGAGCAAACAGGAUUAGAAACCCCAGUAGUCC
rnacentral:rRNA from 1 species